rnacentral:misc_RNA from 1 species
CUGGAGUUCAAAUCUUAUGAUGGUUGCACCUGUUCCUCCAAAUAUUAGCUUCAAUUUAGAACUAAAAACAUAUAAAAGGCUUCUUGUUGAUCACAGUACUUAAUCAAAUAAAUAAAUGCUGUCAGUUUCAUGAAGCAACUCACUUCAAAAACAAGGGACCCAUGGAGCAGAAAACCUGCGAAUAUCUAGAAUGGCAACAGGAAGCUCCAGCCCAAGACAACAGGACCAUAAAUUAGGAAUAACCAGUUCAGUUAAUAAUAGUGAAAUUUGGCUGCUAUCCCCAACCACCCAAACAGCAAAGCCUACUAAACUUUACUCUACCCUCUGUUACACCUCCGUAUACGUCUUGGAAUCCCAACUUCUACAAGUUGCCGCCACAAGCAAUGAACUUAUUGAAGAACACCUUUAUAUACACUCCCCCUAAAAAAAAAAAGAGUAAACCGCUCGUGUACCUUCUUGAUUCGCCUAAAGUUUGGUCAACUAACUGUAGUUUAGCUCUAUAAACACAAAAAGAAAACCACGAUACAUCAUGUGAAUAUAAGAACACAGAUCUGGUACAGGCACCAAAUGAUUCCUUAAUAAUUUACAUUAAAGAAUGAUACCACAAACAAAAGGAGAUCGGAACCCAACAAAGAAACCAAACAUCACUCGAGAAACAGAAACG